AGGAACAGGAUUAUUUAAACCCGGAGCCUUCAAAGCCCCUAAAAAGAGAUUACCUCUUAGCUCCUG
rnacentral:tRNA from 1 species